CUUACAAUCACAAUAUAUUGACUUAAUAUCUCAAAGAAUUGGCUCAGGAUCUCAAUAUAUUGACUUAAUAACUCAGAAUAUUGACUAAGA